rnacentral:rRNA from 1 species
UACGUAGGGUGCAAGCGUUAAUCGGAAUUACUGGGCGUAAAGCGUGCGCAGGCGGUUUUGCAAGACCGAUGUGAAAUCCCCGGGCUCAACCUGGGAAUUGCAUUUGUGACUGCACGGCUAGAGUGUGUCAGAGGGGGGUAGAAUUCCACGUGUAGCAGUGAAAUGCGUAGAGAUGUGGAGGAAUACCGAUGGCGAAGGCAGCCCCCUGGGAUAACACUGACGCUCAUGCACGAAAGCGUGGGGAGCAAACAGG